rnacentral:rRNA from 1 species
GUCUACACCCAUGCCACCCUGAAAAAGCCCGAUCCCACCUGAUCUCGGAAGCUAAGCAGGAUUGGGCCCGGUUAGUACUUGGAUGGGAGACCACCUAUGAAGACCAGGUGCUGUAGGCG